GUCUACGUAAUUUAUAUAAAAUACCGGUCUUGUAAGUCGGAAAAAGAACUAUUUCUCUUAGGCU
rnacentral:tRNA from 1 species